rnacentral:piRNA from 1 species
UAUCAUGUUGCCAAGGAUAUGGAGGAA